rnacentral:rRNA from 1 species
AUUGAACGCUGGCGGCAGGCCUAACACAUGCAAGUCGAGCGGAUGAGUGGAGCUUGCUCCAUGAUUCAGCGGCGGACGGGUGAGUAAUGCCUAGGAAUCUGCCUGGUAGUGGGGGACAACGUUUCGAAAGGAACGCUAAUACCGCAUACGUCCUACGGGAGAAAGCAGGGGACCUUCGGGCCUUGCGCUAUCAGAUGAGCCUAGGUCGGAUUAGCUAGUUGGUGAGGUAGAGGCUCACCAAGGCGACGAUCCGUAACUGGUCUGAGAGGAUGAUCAGUCACACUGGAACUGAAGCACGGUCCAGACUCCUACGGGAGGCAGCAGUGGGGAAUAUUGGACAAUGGGCGAAAGCCUGAUCCAGCCAUGCCGCGUGUGUGAAGAAGGUCUUCGGAUUGUAAAGCACUUUAAGUUGGGAAGAAGGGCAGUAAGUUAAUACCUUGCUGUUUUGACGUUACCGACAGAAUAAGCACCGGCUAACUUCGUGCCAGCAGCCGCGGUAACAC